rnacentral:lncRNA from 1 species
CACAGAGGGGUUUGACCUUAACCAGCUCACAGAUCUCAAUUUUUGCAGACAAAAGAUUAAUUAGCACCCGCCGUGAAAUGAAGUGGUGUGUGAAGAUGACAUGUUGCUUCUCUGAGACCUUAGGCAAGUGUUAUGUGUUAACUGUCAACUUGACAGAAUCCGGAACCACUUGGGAGCUUAACAUCCAGGGAGCACAGCUCUAGGUGGUGAGCUGGGGGCUGGAGGACUGAGAAUCGAGGAGAAGCCUCCGUUCUCCACAGUCCCUUAAGAACCAAGGUUGGCUUUUCCAUCUUAGCUUGUUAUGAAGGUCACCACCCAGAAGGCAGAAAAAGAAAGAACUCGGGGAACCAUGCAGAAGAGGAUUAUCAUGAGAUUCACAGCGGGCCAUGGACUUCUGCUUACUGAUGUAAAACUCAGUCCCUCCACCCCACUAAACUACAAGGAAGCCUGGGCGAUAUGGUCUCCACGCAUUCUCUACGAAAAAGGUCAGCAGUGACGGGUCUGUCAGUGGGUGAUCACUGAGCCUUCUCGGAAGACUCCUAGUUAGACCUAAAGACGCUAGCACGAAACCUCAUUCCAGAGAUAAGAAGAGAGGAAAGGGAGGGUUUGGGGACCUCUCUCAGCUGUCUUUUACUUCAGUGGAAAUACAACAGUCCUAAAUUCACCAAU